rnacentral:lncRNA from 1 species
UAAACACUAAGCCACACCCCCAGUCCAUUUUAUUUUGAGACAGUGUCUCACUAAGGCUGAGGGUCUUGCUAGGAUGCUGAGGCUGGUCUCAAACUUGCAGUCCUCCUGCCUCAGCUUCCUGAGCCACUGAGAUUACAGGCAUACAAUACCGUGUCUAGGUAGGACCACCUAAUUUGUUAAGGCAAAAUGUCAGGUGUAAAGUUGUGAUUUAGCAGGUAUGUAUCAUUUUAAAAGAGAAAAUGAAAAACUAAACAGAAAUUUUUACAACAUCAACUUUGACUGUCAUGAAUAUUAUAAACAAAAUUUUAGAAGACCGAUUAUGUGUGCAUUCCCCAUCCUUCCACAAUUGAGUUCAUGCACUUUCACUGUUUAAAUUUUAUUUGACAUAAGUGAGAAGCUAAGUAAGUAAAAGCAGCUUUAAAAAGAUCUUCAACCAGCAUUAUUGUAUUAGAGUUGCAGACAACCAACUCCGGCUCAUGAGCUUGCCUUCAGAUUUAAUUCCAGAUGUCCUUUCUCUUGCACAUGUGAAUAAAUAGGAAAAUGAUUUCCGUUAGCUAGAUCUCUGGCUUAAGCAGAAAUGCAAUCAUCAUGGUUCCUAAGUGUUGUGUGUACACUCUCUAACUCAAUUUUCACAACAUUAUUUAGACACUCUGACUGCUUAAGCCUGAUAGCAAGCCUCCCCGCCCGAACCAAUUAACCUAACCCUAAGAUUUAGUUUUACCCAGUUGUCCUUGAAUCCUCCCUUGUUCUCCUAUUUGAAUUGGUUUGAAUUCUUUCCCAGAAAAUGUUUGUAAUCUAAAAAUUGUCUUAAUCUCUUUAGUCCAAUUUUUUCUGCUCUUUAAUUUCCCAACAGACCAAAGUGGAUUUCCAAACUUUUCCGCAUAAGAUAUGGAACCCUACUUUUCAAGUACAAAUUUCUUUUUUCGUGUAUUGCCUGUGGAAAACCAGCAGUCUAAAAACCAGCAGUAUUGACCAGACCACAAUAAAGAGAUUCUCUUCCUUGUAUUCUCUUGGGGUUUCUGGGUGUACUUCUCAGUGGGAUCCAUGAGGGAAAGAAAAGACAAAUUAUUCUUUAUCUGUCAAGUGGACGCCCAUUGUGCAUGUUAAGUCUUGGAAAAUAGAAAUCAGUCAAGAGCUAUAUAGUCAACUGAGCACUUGGAUGCCAACUUUUAUGGGGACUGGGAUGGGGUUUACAUAAAUAAAUGAAGCCUUAGAAAACCUAAAAGAUGGUAAAGUUAGAAAAUUGAUUACCAACCUCAACUUUAAAUGGGAUCAUAAAGGUAAGGCAUGGUGGUGAGUGGGG